CCAACCGGCCAAAAUCCUUGCGAAGCUCAACAGCAACGAAAACUGGUUCAAUCCGGUUGCAAUCAAGUUAAUACAAGACCAACUUGAAAGAACUGUCAAACUGCUUGCGUCGACGAAAAUCGUGACGUCAAAUUGAAGGAAAAUCGAUAGGAAAAACAAUGUCGGGCUUGUCGAGUGUUUGUCGCACGUUUGUCGUCCUUUCGACCAAUCGAUAUUGUUGAUUUAGCUCGUAGCUGCCCUGUUUGAAAAAUGUCGCACGUCGUACAAGCUGUCGCGCGGUUUUGAUUUUACCGUUUCGAUAUCGAUUGGUCGAAAGGACGACAAACGUACGACAAACACUCGACAUGCCCGACAUUGUUUUUUCCAUCGAUUUUCCUUCAAUUCGACGUCACGAUUUCCGUCGACGCAAACAGUUUGACAGUUCUCUUCAGCUGGUCUUGUUUGGACUUGAUUGCAACCGAAUCGAACCAGUUAUUGUUGAUGUUGGGCUUCGGAAGGAUUUUGACCGGUUGAUAGAUAUUCAGAAUUCUGUCUUCGUGGCGGUGGAGGAGGAGGACGAGACGCAUGAAUCCGGCGGGCCAGGUCUUCGUGGCGGAAGACGGGACCGGAAGGAACCGAGCUUAUGGAGGAUAUGGUUCAUUCCAAAGGAGGAGGGAAUGAAACACCGAGCGUCAAAAGUUCUACCCAAGGUAACCAAAAAUGUUCCAAUCUGAUCCUGCUAACAAACCAGCGUCUUUGUGUUGUCCCACGUAGUUUGUUGAACGGAAGCUGUAACGGCCGCAAAAACAUCUGCUCCGGAAGUGCGUAAACCGACGUUGUCCCGUACUCCGGUGGCCAUCAAUCCAUGGGACAUAAACGGUGGAGCCGCACCCCGCCGUAUCUGCGGCUAGUCGGAGAGCAAUAGUCAAUCUUGAUCAAGAUGCUGCCUCGCACGAUGGCGUCGGCUCGAAAAGAUGGCUGGCAAAUUCCGGACCCGGAAGACAACGCCAAAAACUUCCGGCCAAAAUGCCGAGCGAUUAGCUGAAAGACCAACUGGAAGAAAACGCCAAAAACUAUGUGGAGAUCGCGACACACAAGUAAAAUUAAUGAAUGUAUUUUAAAUCGAGUGAAAAAGUGAAAUUUACAAUAAAAAUACAUCUAAAAAAAAAUAAAAAAAAAUAAAUAUCUAAUUUUUACUGCAACAUAACCUAAAAACCCGAAAUGACAUCACACGACAAAGGCACGACAUCCUAAAUAACAAAACCGUGCGUCGUCGGUCGAAUGUCGUACGACAAUGUCGUACAAUUUCGAUCAUCGAUCGCACGACAAAUACGACAUUUUGGUGCAAAAACGUAUGACAUUCGCGCGAAAGUCGCACGACAUUGUCGUGCGACGUCGUACGAUUGCACGGACGACAAACGACGGACGUCCGACGAACUUUUCAGUCAGGGUGGAUCCCUGUUUGAAAAAUGUCGCACGUCGUACGAGUUGUCGCACGGUUUUGAUUUUACCGUUUCGAUAUCGAUUGGUCGAAAGGACGACAAACGUGCGACAAACACUCGACAUGCUCGACAUUGUUUUUUCCAUCGAUUUUCCUUCAAUUCGACGUCGAUUAUCGUCGACGCAAACAGUUUGACAGUUCUCUUCAGUUGAUCUUGUUCGGACUUGAUCAAAUCAGAAAAACAAUAUUGUUGUAAAGGUUCGUGAGGAUUUUGGCUGGUUGAUUGACUUCCUGAUUUCAGCCUUCGCGACGGUGGAAGAGAACGUGAAACAUCGUUAACCCGGCGGAUCAUGCCGGAAGAUGGGACGGGAAGGAACCGGUCUGCGAUCGAAAGCGGAUUGGGAUCUGUAUCAAACAGUCUCCAAACAGGACAAUGAAAGUGUUGGUGGUGUUUGAUUUUUAGAGAAUGUCAAAAUCGCCAUUAUCAAUACUAAGACCUGGAAAAAAAGAACAAACUUGCGGCCGAGUACAACCUCUGAGUGAAAGCGAUGGAGGUUAACGAACUACUCACGGGGCAGCACACGAAUUCUACCGGAUUGGCCAUCAUCAAGCGAAAUUUGGAAAAUUGUGACUGCAGUGAUAGUGAAUAUUUGGAAAACAAAGUGCCAGGCCAGUGAAAACUAAUAGAUAUCAAUAAAAAUCAGCAAAACAACAAAUAAAAUGAAUUUUAUUUCGAAAAUAACCUAAAAAUUCCGAAAUGACAGCACACGACAAUAGCACGACAUCCUAAAUAACAAAACCGUGCGACGUCGGUCGAAUGUCGUACGACAAUGUCGAACAAUUUCGAUGAUCGAUCGCACGACAAAUACGACAUUUUGGUGCAAAAACGUAUGACAUUCGUGCGAAUGUCGCACGACAUUGUCGUGCGACGUCGUACGAUUGCACGUACGACAAACGACGGACGUCGGACGGACUUUUCAGUCAGGGA